UUGUUUUCCCCAAUCCCUCAAAACUCUGAAGUGUUCUCUCAUGUGAAAGGAAUUGAGGAGGACUGAGAGACACAUUUUUAUUUUUUUUGUUUUCAUCUUCUUCUUCUUUCUCUUUUCAGUGCCCGCGUCAACAGCGUGAGAGUGCGAAGGCCUAACUGUUCGGGUACCCAUUGAGAUGGAGGGCCAAAGCCUUGUGAAGCAGAAGACUGACUUCACUGAAAAUGAUCAAUGGACCCAUUAAAACUUUCUUAAUUGAGGCAGAAGACUGCUCGCAAUCACAGUCUCUGCUCGUGUACGCUGCUCGCAACUCACACAUCGCAGUCGCAGCAGGUCGCAUGUCUGCGUCGCAACCCACCGCACGUUACAUCACGCCUCACGUCGCAACAGAGCAAUCUCAAAGGUAUUCUUAUGUGACAUAAAUUGGCAAUAACAGUUUGGUGCCUCAUUAAAGAGAACUACUCUGUUUUCUAUUGAUGCACUCUGAUGGACUAGUGGAAGUCACAUGAUAUCUUUGCUCACUGUCGAGCUUGCUGCAUUAGAGGAAAGAGAGAAGAAGAGAGACGAGCAGAUGACAGUAGCAAAGGAGGUAGAAACAAGAGGUAUGCAACGCUUCAGGCUCAACUAAAUUCUCUUUUGGAAUCGGGAAAUAUUAUUUCUCCAUGUCUUGUUGAUACACGUCGAGGUCAAGUGGAUGGAACCAAAGAGGAGAGUGAGGGUGAUGAGGAAUAGUUGUAUCUAUUACCUAGACAUUUCAGAUUUUGUAUUUAUAGUUUGUAUACUUUUUAAAUUGUUUGAUCCUAUUUUAGUUUAAUUUGAAUGAAUUCAAGUUUAAUUUGAA